rnacentral:rRNA from 1 species
AUUGAACGCUGGCGGCAGGCCUAACACAUGCAAGUCGAACGAGUGGCGGACGGGUGAGUAAUGUCUGGGAAACUGCCUGAUGGAGGGGGAUAACUACUGGAAACGGUAGCUAAUACCGCAUACCAUGGGAUGUGCCCAGAUGGGCUUAGCUAGUAGGUGGGGUAAAGGCUCACCUAGGCGACGGUCCCUAGCUGGUCUGAGAGGGUGUCCAGCCACACUGGAACUUGGACACGGCCCAGACUCCUACGGGAGGCAGCAGGGUGGAAUAUUGCACAAUGGGCGCAAGCCUGAUGCAGCCAUGCCGCGUGUAUGAAGAAGGCCUUCGGGUUGUAAAGUACUUUCAGCGGGGAAGCGUUACCCGCAGAAGAAGCACCGGCUAACUCCGUGCCAGCAGCCGCGGUAAUAC